rnacentral:rRNA from 1 species
AAAGGGCUUCGGCCCCGGUAAAGCGGCGCACGGGUGAGUAACACGUAGGUCAUCAACCCUCGAGUGGUGGAUAACCCUCCGAAAGGAGGGCUAAUACAGCAUAACGUUAGCAAUAACCAAAGCGGGCCUCUCCAUGGAAGCUCGCGCUAGAGGAUGAGCCUGCGGCCCAUCAUGGUAGUUGGCGGAGUAAUAGCCCACCAAGCCUUAGACGGGUAGCUGGUCUGAGAGGAUGAACAGCCACACUGGAACUGAGACACGGUCCAGACUCCUACGGGAGGCAGCAGUCGGGAAUCUUCCGCAAUGGGCGAAAGCCUGACGGAGCGACGCCGCGUGAGCGAUGAAGGCCUUCGGGUUGUAAAGCUCUGUGGGGAGAGAAGAAUAAGUGCAAGCUAAUACCUUGCGUGAUGACGGUAUCUCCUUAGCAAGCACCGGCUAACUCUGUGCCAGCAGCCGCGGUAAGACAGAGGGUGCAAACGUUGUUCGGAUUUACUGGGCGUAAAGCGCGUGUAGGCGGCUUCGCAAGUUGGAUGUGAAAGCCCACGGCUCAACCGUGGAAGCGCAUCCAAAACUGCGUCGCUCGAGUCUCGGAGAGGAAGGUGGAAUGCUUGGUGUAGAGGUGAAAUUCGUAGAUAUCAAGCAGAACACCUGCGGCGAAGGCGGCCUUCUGGACGAUGACUGACGCUGAGACGCGAAAGCGUGGGGAGCAAACAGGAUUAGAUACCCUGGUAGUCCACGCCGUAAACGAUGAGUGCUAGGUGUCACGGGCUUUGACCCUCGUGGUGCCGUAGCUAACGCAUAAGCACU